UAUUGGGCGUAAGAGCUCGUAGGCGGUUUGUCGCGUCUGCCGUGAAAGUCCGGGGCUUAACUCCGGAUCUGCGGUGGGUACGGGCAGACUUGAGUGAUGUAGGGGAGACUGGAAUUCCUGGUGUAGCGGUGAAAUGCGCAGAUAUCAGGAGGAACACCGAUGGCGAAGGCAGGUCUCUGGGCAUUAACUGACGCUGAGGAGCGAAAGCAUGGGGAGCGAACAGGAUUAGAUACCCUGGUAGUCCAUGCCGUAAACGUUGGGCACUAGGUGUGGGGGACAUUCCACGUUUUCCGCGCCGUAGCUAACGCAUUAAGUGCCCCGCCUGGGGAGUACGGCCGCAAGGCUAAAACUCAAAGGAAUUGACGGGGGCCCGCACAAGCGGCGGAGCAUGCGGAUUAAUUCGAUGCAACGCGAAGAACCUUACCAAGGCUUGACAUGAACCGGAACGGCGCAGAGAUGUGUCGGCCACUUGUGGCCGGUUUACAGGUGGUGCAUGGUUGUCGUCAGCUCGUGUCGUGAGAUGUUGGGUUAAGUCCCGCAACGAGCGCAACCCUCGUUCCAUGUUGCCAGCGGGUUAUGCCGGGGACUCAUGGGAGACUGCCGGGGUCAACUCGGAGGAAGGUGGGGACGACGUCAAAUCAUCAUGCCCCUUAUGUCUUGGGCUUCACGCAUGCUACAAUGGCCGGUACAAAGGGUUGCGAUGCUGUGAGGUGGAGCUAAUCCCAAAAAGCCGGUCUCAGUUCGGAUUGAGGUCUGCAACUCGACCUCAUGAAGUCGGAGUCGCUAGUAAUCGCAGAUCAGCAACGCUGCGGUGAAUACGUUCCCGGGGCCUUGUACACACCGCCCGUCAAGUCACGAAAGUUGGUAACACCCGAAGCCGGUGGCCUAACCCUUUUGGGGGGGAGCCGUCGAAGUGGGACCG
rnacentral:rRNA from 1 species